rnacentral:rRNA from 1 species
AGUGAACGCUGGCGGUAGGCCUAACACAUGCAAGUCGAACGGCAGCACGGUAAGAGCUUGCUCUUACAGGUGGCGAGUGGCGGACGGGUGAGGAAUACAUCGGAAUCUACUUUUUCGUGGGGGAUAACGUAGGGAAACUUACGCUAAUACCGCAUACGACCUACGGGUGAAAGCAGGGGAUCUUCGGACCUUGCGCGAUUGAAUGAGCCGAUGUCGGAUUAGCUAGUUGGCGGGGUAAAGGCCCACCAAGGCGACGAUCCGUAGCUGGUCUGAGAGGAUGAUCAGCCACACUGGAACUGAGACACGGUCCAGACUCCUACGGGAGGCAGCAGUGGGGAAUAUUGGACAAUGGGCGCAAGCCUGAUCCAGCCAUACCGCGUGGGUGAAGAAGGCCUUCGGGUUGUAAAGCCCUUUUGUUGGGAAAGAAAAGCAGCAGGUUAAUACCCCGCUGUUCUGACGGUACCCAAAGAAUAAGCACCGGCUAACUUCGUG